rnacentral:rRNA from 1 species
UACGGAGGGAGCUAGCGUUGUUCGGAAUUACUGGGCGUAAAGCGCACGUAGGCGGCUUUGUAAGUUAGAGGUGAAAGCCCGGGGCUCAACCCCGGAAUUGCCUUUAAGACUGCAUCGCUUGAAUCCAGGAGGGGUGAGUGGAAUUCCGAGUGUAGAGGUGAAAUUCGUAGAUAUUCGGAAGAACACCAGUGGCGAAGGCGGCUCACUGGACUGGUAUUGACGCUGAGGUGCGAAAGCGUGGGGAGCAAACAGG